GAGGAUAUAGCUCAGUGGUGGAUUGUGUGCUUAGCAUGCUCAAGGUUCUGGGUUCAAUCUCCAGUACCUCCA
rnacentral:tRNA from 1 species